UGCUUACACAUGCAAGUCGAACGCAACCUUCGGGUUGAGUGGCGGACGGGUGAGUAACGCGUGAGAAUCUGCCUUGGGGUCGGGGACAACCACUGGAAACGGUGGCUAAUACCGGAUAAGCCUUUGGGUAAAAAAUUUAUUGCCCCAAGAGGAGCUCGCGUCUGAUUAGCUAGUUGGUGAGGUAAAAGCUCACCAAGGCAGCGAUCAGUAGCUGGUCUGAGAGGACGAUCAGCCACACUGGGACCGAGACACGGCCCAGACUCCUACGGGAGGCAGCAGUGGGGAAUUUUCCGCAAUGGGCGAAAGCCUGACGGAGCAAGACCGCGUGAGGGAGGAAGGCUCUUGGGUUGUAAACCUCUUUUCUCAGGGAAGAAGCUCUGACGGUACCUGAGGAAUCAGCCUCGGCUAACUCCGUGCCAGCAGCCGCGGUAAUACGGAGGAGGCAAGCGUUAUCCGGAAUUAUUGGGCGUAAAGCGUCCGCAGGUGGCGAUUCAAGUCUGCUGUCAAAGCACGGGGCUUAACUCCGUUAAGGCAGUGGAAACUGAAUAGCUAGAGUGCCGUAGGGGUAGAGGGAAUUCCCGGUGUAGCGGUGAAAUGCGUAGAGAUCGGGAAGAACAUCGGUGGCGAAGGCGGCUUACUGGACCAAAACUGACGCUGAGGUACGAAAGCGUGGGUAGCAAACAGGAUUAGAUACCCUGGUAGUCCACGCCCUAAACGAUGUCAACUAGUUGUUGGGAGCCUUAAUAGCUCUUAGUGACGAAGCUAACGCGUUAAGUUGACCGCCUGGGGAGUACGGCCGCAAGGUUGAAACUCAAAGGAAUUGACGGGGGCCCGCACAAGCGGUGGAGCAUGUGGUUUAAUUCGAUGCAACGCGAAGAACCUUACCAGCCCUUGACAUCCUCGGAACUUACUAGAGAUAGUUUGGUGCCUUCGGGAACCGAGUGACAGGUGCUGCAUGGCUGUCGUCAGCUCGUGUCGUGAGAUGUUGGGUUAAGUCCCGCAACGAGCGCAACCCUUAUCCUUAGUUGCCAGCACUUCGGGUGGGAACUCUAAGGAGACUGCCGGUGAUAAACCGGAGGAAGGUGGGGAUGACGUCAAGUCAUCAUGGCCCUUACGGGCUGGGCUACACACGUGCUACAAUGGUCGAUACAGAGGGAAGCAAACUCGCGAGAGCCAGCAAAUCCCAGAAAGCCGAUCUUAGUCCGGAUCGUAGUCUGCAACUCGACUACGUGAAGUCGGAAUCGCUAGUAAUCGCGGAUCAGCAUUGCCGCGGUGAAUACGUUCCCGGGCAUUGUACACACCGCCCGUCACACCAUGGGAGUUGGCUGCACCAGAAGCAGGUAGUCUAACAUUCGGGAGGACGCUUGCCACGGUGUGGUCAAUGACUGGGGUGAAGUC
rnacentral:rRNA from 1 species